rnacentral:lncRNA from 1 species
GGCAGCCGACUGAGCAACAUCUCCAAUCUUACCUGCGACCUGAGUACUGGACUACGCAUCUUCAGCGUCCACAGGCUCCUAAUCCUUGCUGAGACCUUUAUUCUACUGUCUUAUAAUUUUGUGUGAAUGUGGUUUCUAGCAGGAUUUACUCAACUAUUUAUUACUCGUGUAUUAUCUAGGUAGGAUUUAUCUUAGGCUCACCAUAAUUUACGUUUUGGGAUAACCUCCAUUUGGGACGUUUAAGGUGGAUAAAUCAACUAUGGUCAUUUGCCUAGGGUCUAGUAUAGGUAGAUGGAGGUUUAGGGUUUCAUUCCUCCUCUAACUUUUCCCGUGCAUUUGAACCUCCUACUGUCCUGCCUGUCCUUUCUGGUGAGCCUUCCUCCAACUUUACACUCCUCUUUUGUUAGGGUUUCAUUCCUUGAUUAAGCCUAGCUGUUGUAACUACGGUUCAACACUGAAUCCCGAAUAGAUUUAGUAUAAACUUCUCCGUUCCUGUGACGCCAGCACCAACCCCGCCUUUACCUGGUUCUAUUCAUUCUGAAGACUCUAAAUUCUGAUGUCCAGUUGAACUAAAUUGUGGAGCCUGGUCUUCCUACUUAACUUCUUCUCUGGAUGAAUACUUAAUUACCAUCAAAACUUCCGGCGCUUCCCGUGGAUGAAGACCCAAUUAAGAAGAUCCAACCUUGAACCUCUCCUAAUAAAAUUUGAUGGUUCUCUUA